rfam:Fukomys damarensis contig92768, whole genome shotgun sequence.
CGGGGCAGCUGGUGUUGUGAAUCAGGCCGUUGCCCAUCAGAGAACGGCUACUUCACAACACCAGGGUCUCA